rnacentral:rRNA from 1 species
CGUGUAGGCGGCUGAGCAAGUCAGAUGUGAAAUCCCUGGGCUUAACCCAGGAAGUGCAUUUGAAACUGCUUGGCUUGAGUAAGGAAGAGGGAAGUGGAAUUCCUGGUGUAGAGGUGAAAUUCGUAGAUAUCAGGAGGAACACCGGUGGCGAAGGCGACUUCCUGGUCCUAUACUGACGCUGAGACGCGAGAGCGUGGGGAGCAAACA